AUUAGUCAAUGCUCGCAAGAGUGAACUAGCUAACUGAAAUCAAAGGUGUGUCACCCUUGAUAAGGUAAAGGAAAAGAAAAGAUAUUACUUUACUAUUAGUGUCGUCCAAAUACUCGUGCCAGAAGACUCGGUAAGGCGAGAGACGCAAACGUUAGUCGUCCUGAUCAGGCGUAAAGGGUUUGUAGGCGGCUUUAAGCAUUUCAUUCUUCUAAAUUACAGCUUAAAUGGUUAAAUAUGAAAAUUCAUUUAAUUUUAAAUGUUUUAGAUUCUUUAAUUUAUUUAAGUUUGGUGAAAGAAAAAAUCAAUUAAAGCUAGAAUCAAAUAGAGGUCAAAUUAAAUAAUACUUGGUGUAAGAUUGGUAUCUUUAAAUACCAAGCGGAAUACUAACGGCGAAGGCUUUUUUCCAUUAAUGAUUGACGCUGAGAAACUAAGGUGAGGGCAUAAAAAAGGAUUAGAGACCCUAGUAUUCCUCACUGUCAACGAUGAAUGGUAGUUACUAGACAUAAAUUAUUUUCAUUAAUAAAAAGAUUCUAGAGACGAUGUUAACACGAAAACCAUUCCGCCUUGUGAGUACGACUGCAAAGUUGAAAACAAAAAAAUUAGUCGGUUUCGGAGCAAACGGAGUGAAGCAUGUUAUUUAA
rnacentral:rRNA from 1 species